GGUGAGUAACGCGUAGAUAAUCUACCUUUAAGACAGGGAUAACGGACCGAAAGGUCCCCUAAUACCUGAUACGUUCUUUUUAACCUAAGUUAGAAAGAAGAAAGAUGGCCUCUCCUUGGAAGCUAUUACUUGAAGAUGAGUCUGCGUACCAUUAGCUAGUUGGUGGGGUAAGAGCCUACCAAGGCUACGAUGGUUAGCGGGUCUGAGAGGAUGAUCCGCCACACUGGAACUGAAACACGGACCAGACUCC
rnacentral:rRNA from 1 species